UUUCUCAAGUCAAAGUGCAGCCACACCUCCACCCUGCUUCAUCUCCUUCGGCAUAACACACCCUCUGUCCCAAAUUCAGCGCCGCAAACCUCCUUACAGCCGCCACCCUUUCUCCUUCCCUUCAACAAGCUUGCAACACAACUGCGCAGCCCUAUACUAACACACACACAUGGUUCCCGAACCAAAGGAAAAGAGAGAAACAGAAGAGAGAAGGGAGGAAGGGGCUGUCUGCCGGCGCCACUGGGUCUCGCCAUCGCCGCCGAUGCCGCUGAGGUGAGGAGACCCCGAGGUGCUACACGUGAGGAGCCGUUCUGCCGCCGUGCCCUGCACCGUUGAGGCCGCCGCUACUGUUCGUGGGGUUGCCUCUGUCGCAGAUUGGAACUGAGGCAAGAGAGGAAGGGUCUGACGGGAGGGCACACGCGCGAGGAGGGAGGAAAGCUGCUUCUGUCACUGUCGCUGAAUCCAUUCUUUCCGCUGCCACUGGGAGCACGAACAGAGGAGAGUCACCCCUGUCGGAACCACGCCGCCACUGCCAGCUUCCACCUCCAUCGUGCUUGACUAUGGAUGAGAGUGGAGGAAACUGCCUCUCUCUCUGCCGUUGAAAUCCCCCGUCGCUGCUGCUUGUGUCUUGAACUGCUGCAUCAGCCACCGCCGCAGGUGUUGCUGUUGGAAAGGGGACAUGUGCCUCUGUGUUUCUGGUAGCCAGGAGUGGUUCUAUGACUUCCGGGACCACCGCUAAGGCUCCGGGCUAAGCCUCUACUGCCAGGAACGUCUCUGCUGCCACCGAGUCCCGCCGGCGCUGCUGUUAUUAGAUAUUCAGACCGCCGUUGUCGCCCAAAAGUUAUUGAUGGAGCUGCUGCUGGGCCGAUUUGAUGUUGCGGCUGCUUCAUUUUGUUAUUUCAGAGUUAGAAUCUGGUUUGAUUAUGCCGCUUGUAGCUGUUUCUGCUUUCGAGAGAACAAACCGAGUCGGGUUUUGAUUGCCGGUGAUUUCGGGCGGAGCGAAAAGAGUUUAGUUGACACGUUUGGGUUGUGAUUUUGGCGUUUUGAGAAGCAUAAGAUGGUUAUUAAUCACUGGUACGGUUUAUCUUCAUGUAUUCUAUUACAGUAAUUCCCAAAAAACCCUCUACUGAGAACCCUUUCGAGGAUGAUGUUCUCACCCCUUACAUUUUUUCCCUUUCAGGAUAUGGGCGCAGAAGUUACGAAGAGUUUAUUUAGUUAUUGUUGUGAUGUUCUGUAUUGCUUUGGAUUAUUAAUUAUUGUACCCUCGCCUCUAUAUUGAUAUAUUCUAUAAGAGGGAUAGGAAUUGUAUUGGUUAAUGUCUGUAAUAUUAUUUAUAUAUAUGUAUGUAUAUAUAUGGAUGUACUCUUUAUGAGUUUUCAUAAGUUGUAUGGUUUCUUUGGAUGUACGUUAUCGAACGAAAGUAUUUUUAGAAACGGUAUUGCGGUUUAAAGUUUUUAAACAGGCUCAUAUUUUAGUAUUAAAUAGUAUAAGUGUCGUCGUAAUGUCCGAGCUAUCAGAGUUGCGCAGCCGGAAGCGUGAGCUUUGGUAGUUAGGGUGUUACAUUAUGGUAUCAGAGCAGUUCUUCCUGUAGAGCCUGAGGAAUGGACUGACUAUGCUUCAAUUGCAUGCUCUGAGCGUUUGUCAUGUAUUAGGUCUUGUCGAAUGAUGAGAAUUAGAGCUUUAUGCACAUGACGGUCUAUUGAUUAACGCCGUUAGUCUUGCAUUGCAUAAUUCUUGGUAUUAAGUUUGGCCGACUUAAUACUAGUGAAUUAUGUAAAUGAAAGCACUAAUGGGUUAUCAUAGAUAAUAUGUGAGUUUUGAGCAAAGCGAAUCGCGGGUUUUGGGAACGUUGGAAACUAUUUCUCGAGGCUAUUCAGUUGUGUGUUUUGGAUUUUGUUCGAGUCGACCUGUUCUUUCGUGUCCUAACUUGAAAUUCUUGUUUGCUACUCCUUUUGAAAAGUAGUUUGAUAUUUCUACUCUAUUCCCUUAUUCAUAUGCAUUCUUAUUUGAUCCUAAGUGCAUAUGCUUGUUUGAGAUCCUUGUUGUAUCUAUCUUUCUCUGUUUGAGUUCUUUUUGAUUCACGUAUCCUUUGAUAUAGCUUUGAACUUGUCUUAAUGCACUGUGCCUUUUUAAGUCCGGAUUCCGAGUCCAUUCUUAUAGAAAUUGUUGAUUCGGUUUUUCCUCUUAUUUGACAGUGAUUACAGCUAGUUUUGAGACUUUUAUGAAAAUUGCUAUUGAAUAGAUGUAUACUUAUCUAUAUAUGAAACUUGAAGAUUUCUUACACAGUUUGACAACUAUUUAUUUCUAAUACCUCGCCUGUACUUUUACUGGUUUACGGAACUGCAUUUACUUUAAAAUUAUAAUUUGACUUUCUAGUAAUUUUAUUAUAGUUCCAAUGCACAUUUUCAUUUGAUUAUGUAUUUGGAUAUUUUUCAAAACUUUGGAAAGAAAGAAUUUUUCAUUUUUAUCCCCGUUGAGUUUCGUUUGAUAAACUUUACUUAAUUCAUUUUGAAUUGAGUUUGAUUCAGCAUGCUAUAGGGUUUAUGCCAUUAUUGUUCUUUUGAAAAUGUUGGACUCAUAGCUUUCUUCUUUUGAACGGACUCGUUUCUUCUUAAGCUUUUCACCUCUAUGAAUGUCAUACGUGAUUCUGUUUUUAACUAAUCUUUUACAUCUUGUGAAAUUAUCAUUAAUCUUGGUUUGUCCUUCCUGUGAAUUUCAUCCUUAUGUGAGUCGGUUUGAUUUGUUUCAAAUUAGUGCAUCGUUUAUUCUCUCAUUAUCUCUACAAGAGUUUUUAGUCAAAGAUUUAUCCUUGAGAAAUUACUAAUGAUUGAGUUGUCUUUUUCUAUGACUUUUGUUUUCCGUUGGAUCAGUUGAAAGCUUGUUUGAUGUCUCAUGCAUAGUGGAUCUUGUUUGAGCUAUCUUGGUUUAAAAUCCUAUUUUUGCAUGGCUUGACUUCUUUUUAGUACAUCUUAAACUUCUUGAAUGUUCUUCUGAGAUGGCGAUUUCAAGAACACUUUUGGAGUCUUGUUUUGAGCUUUUAAAGAAGUUUUGAAUUCUCUUUGAAGAAGUUCUAAAUGGAAUUUAUUUUCUAUUGCUUGAUUGAGAUUGAAACUAUUGUUCGAUUUUUGACAAAAUUGUUUUGAAAUUGACAUGCGCUAUUUUAAAUGAGGUUCUGAAAAGUUCCCUUGUUUAAUGGGAACCUGUUUGUUUGUAACACACCGCUUGUUUCCUUACUAGAUUGUAAGCAAAAUUUUUACCUCGGGAUUUCUUUUCUAAAAAGAGCUUAACUUCCUCUUUUGUCCUCGCUAUAAAUGUUAUACACGCUUGUUUGAAUAUGGAUUUUGAGAAUUUUGAACGAGCAUUCGAUUUCUCUUCCGAGUUUUAUGAUUGCUUUUGAUUAAGAUUGUACACCUAACUAUCUUUCCAAAAUAGUUGAGGAAAUACUUUUGCUCCUAGCCAAAACCCGUGUACAGUUUGUUUUAAAAUUCUACAUGAUCUGUUUCAACAUGAAAUUGUAUUAAAGCAAAGCCACGUUUAUGUUUUUGUUACUCUUUUGAAGGAUGUUUGUUGCUUAACCUUCUUUUAAACUGCGAGGUGACUUUCUUGCAAGUUUUCGAUUCUUUUAAAAACAAUGUAUUCAAAAGUAUUUGUAAUCGUGCUCUUGAGUUCUGUGAGUUUUGUCUUGGGUUUGAAAUAUUCUCUUCUGUAAAUCUCAUACUUCAUCGACUCAGUUUGAGUUUGUUUCAAACUGAUGCGCUGGUUUUCUUGUUGAUCCUAUUGAACUUCUUUGAUCCAAGGGUCAUCUUUGAGGUUGUCAGUUGAUUUAUUUCUAGCAAACUUCAUUUGCUUGAUCAUCCUUGUUGUCUGGGAUUGGAUACAUUCCCUCGGAUCUAUGAGUACUAUCCUUGACAUUUGACUCUCCUUUUUAAAUCUUGUAUCCUUCUGAGUAAACUUGAGAAUUGUUUUGAUAUCACAUGCGACUUGUAGACGUAGUAACGCGAUGCGUUAGUUCUUUAAGACGUGAUAUGUGUAUUUGGAAAGUGAAGCGGUAAGUGCGUAACGUUAUGAUGAGUUGUGGGUGUUUUGUUCCUUGCGAACGGGUUUGUGGUUGCCAGGCUUGUGAUUGAAUUUGGGGUUUGUAAAGUGCUUGAUGGAGUUGGAAAGUUGAAACUUUGAGGUUGAUAUGAGAUUAGUGUACGGAGGUUAAGCACGUCGUUUUAACUCCAUCCUGUUUAAUAGCCUUUGAUGCCUUGCCCUUCUAUCACAUGAUUGACCCAUGUUAUCUUUUGCAUUGAGCCUACCUUGAAACGUUUGCUUUGCAAUCACACUCCUACCUUUACAUCCUUAUGCUUAUGACAAUAAAAGUAUUUGAAAAUCGUAUAUAUGAUUAUAUUUUGAGAUAUUUUUGCUUCUUCCUUAAAUGUGUUCAAAGGUGAACUGUUAUGGAAUUUCUUUCAUUUUGUAUCAAUUUUCGAGGGCGAAAAUUUUUAUAAGGUGGGUAGAAUGUAAGACCCA